GCAGUGGGAGCCUCUUUAUGGGGUGACUGCGUACCUUUUGUAUAAUGGGUCAGCGACUUAUAUUCUGUAGCAAGGUUAACCGAAUAGGGGAGCCGAAGGGAAACCGAGUCUUAACUGGGCGUUAAGUUGCAGGGUAUAGACCCGAAACCCGGUGAUCUAGCCAUGGGCAGGUUGAAGGUUGGGUAACACUAACUGGAGGACCGAACCGACUAAUGUUGAAAAAUUAGCGGAUGACUUGUGGCUGGGGGUGAAAGGCCAAUCAAACCGGGAGAUAGCUGGUUCUCCCCGAAAGCUAUUUAGGUAGCGCCUCGUGAAUUCAUCUCCGGGGGUAGAGCACUGUUUCGGCAAGGGGGUCAUCCCGACUUACCAACCCGAUGCAAACUGCGAAUACCGGAGAAUGUUAUCACGGGAGACACACGGCGGGUGCUAACGUCCGUCGUGAAGAGGGAAACAACCCAGACCGCCAGCUAAGGUCCCAAAGUCAUGGUUAAGUGGGAAACGAUGUGGGAAGGCCCAGACAGCCAGGAUGUUGGCUUAGAAGCAGCCAUCAUUUAAAGAAAGCGUAAUAGCUCACUGGUCGAGUCGGCCUGCGCGGAAGAUGUAACGGGGCUAAACCAUGCACCGAAGCUGCGGCAGCGACACUAUGUGUUGUUGGGUAGGGGAGCGUUCUGUAAGCCUGUGAAGGUGUACUGUGAGGUAUGCUGGAGGUAUCAGAAGUGCGAAUGCUGACAUAAGUAACGAUAAAGCGGGUGAAAAGCCCGCUCGCCGGAAGACCAAGGGUUCCUGUCCAACGUUAAUCGGGGCAGGGUGAGUCGACCCCUAAGGCGAGGCCGAAAGGCGUAGUCGAUGGGAAACAGGUUAAUAUUCCUGUACUUGGUGUUACUGCGAAGGGGGGACGGAGAAGGCUAUGUUGGCCGGGCGACGGUUGUCCCGGUUUAAGCGUGUAGGCUGGUUUUCCAGGCAAAUCCGGAAAAUCAAGGCUGAGGCGUGAUGACGAGGCACUACGGUGCUGAAGCAACAAAUGCCCUGCUUCCAGGAAAAGCCUCUAAGCAUCAGGUAACAUCAAAUCGUACCCCAAACCGACACAGGUGGUCAGGUAGAGAAUACCAAGGCGCUUGAGAGAACUCGGGUGAAGGAACUAGGCAAAAUGGUGCCGUAACUUCGGGAGAAGGCACGCUGAUAUGUAGGUGAAGCGACUUGCUCGUGGAGCUGAAAUCAGUCGAAGAUACCAGCUGGCUGCAACUGUUUAUUAAAAACACAGCACUGUGCAAACACGAAAGUGGACGUAUACGGUGUGACGCCUGCCCGGUGCCGGAAGGUUAAUUGAUGGGGUUAGCGGUAACGCGAAGCUCUUGAUCGAAGCCCCGGUAAACGGCGGCCGUAACUAUAACGGUCCUAAGGUAGCGAAAUUCCUUGUCGGGUAAGUUCCGACCUGCACGAAUGGCGUAAUGAUGGCCAGGCUGUCUCCACCCGAGACUCAGUGAAAUUGAACUCGCUGUGAAGAUGCAGUGUACCCGCGGCAAGACGGAAAGACCCCGUGAACCUUUACUAUAGCUUGACACUGAACAUUGAGCCUUGAUGUGUAGGAUAGGUGGGAGGCUUUGAAGUGUGGACGCCAGUCUGCAUGGAGCCGACCUUGAAAUACCACCCUUUAAUGUUUGAUGUUCUAACGUUGGCCCGUUAUCCGGGUUGCGGACAGUGUCUGGUGGGUAGUUUGACUGGGGCGGUCUCCUCCUAAAGAGUAACGGAGGAGCACGAAGGUUGGCUAAUCCUGGUCGGACAUCAGGAGGUUAGUGCAAUGGCAUAAGCCAGCUUGACUGCGAGCGUGACGGCGCGAGCAGGUGCGAAAGCAGGUCAUAGUGAUCCGGUGGUUCUGAAUGGAAGGGCCAUCGCUCAACGGAUAAAAGGUACUCCGGGGAUAACAGGCUGAUACCGCCCAAGAGUUCAUAUCGACGGCGGUGUUUGGCACCUCGAUGUCGGCUCAUCACAUCCUGGGGCUGAAGUAGGUCCCAAGGGUAUGGCUGUUCGCCAUUUAAAGUGGUACGCGAGCUGGGUUUAGAACGUCGUGAGACAGUUCGGUCCCUAUCUGCCGUGGGCGCUGGAGAACUGAGGGGGGCUGCUCCUAGUACGAGAGGACCGGAGUGGACGCAUCACUGGUGUUCGGGUUGUCAUGCCAAUGGCACUGCCCGGUAGCUAAAUGCGGAAGAGAUAAGUGCUGAAAGCAUCUAAGCACGAAACUUGCCCCGAGAUGAGUUCUCCCUGACUCCCUGAGAGUCCUGAAGGAACGUUGAAGACGACGACGUUGAUAGGCCGGGUGUGUAAGCGCAGCGAUGCGUUGAGCUAACCGGUACUAAUGAACCGUGAGGCUUAACCUU
rnacentral:rRNA from 1 species